AUUGAACGCUGGCGGCAGGCCUAACACAUGCAAGUCGAGCGGAUGAAGGGAGCUUGCUCCUGGAUUCAGCGGCGGACGGGUGAGUAAUGCCUAGGAAUCUGCCUGGUAGUGGGGGAUAACGUCCGGAAACGGGCGCUAAUACCGCAUACGUCCUGAGGGAGAAAGUGGGGGAUCUUCGGACCUCACGCUAUCAGAUGAGCCUAGGUCGGAUUAGCUAGUUGGUGGGGUAAAGGCCUACCAAGGCGACGAUCCGUAACUGGUCUGAGAGGAUGAUCAGUCACACUGGAACUGAGACACGGUCCAGACUCCUACGGGAGGCAGCAGGGGGGAAUAUUGGACAAUGGGCGAAAGCCUGAUCCAGCCAUGCCGCGUGUGUGAAGAAGGUCUGCGGAUUGUAAAGCACUUUAAGUUGGGAGGAAGGGCAGUAAGUUAAGACCUUGCUGUUUUGACGUUACCAACAGAAUAAGCACCGGCGAACUUCGU
rnacentral:rRNA from 1 species